rfam:Colinus virginianus strain Texas jcf7180006192221, whole genome shotgun sequence.
UCCUCAUAAAUAUAUUGCUAAGUAUCUCCAGCUGUUAUGUGGGAGACCAAGGUUCGAUUCCCUGAUGGGGAA